AUUGAACGCUGGCGGCAGGCUUAACACAUGCAAGUCGAGCGCGGGGCGUACGGGUGAGUAAUGUCUGGGAAACUGCCUUAUGGAGGGGGAUAACUACUGGAAACGGUAGCUAAUCCCGCAUACCAUCAGAUGUGCCCAGAUGGUAUUAGCUAGUAGGUGGGGUAAUGGCUUACCUAGGCGCCGAUCCAUAGCUGGUCUGAGAGGAUGACCAGCCACACUGGAACUGAGACACGGUCCAGACUCCUACGGGAGGCAGCAGUGGGGAAUAUUGCACAAUGGGCGCAAGCCUGAUGCAGCCAUGCCGCGUGUGUGAAGAAGGCCUUCGGGUUGUAAAGCACUUUCAGCGAGGAGGCGUUACUCGCAGAAGAAGCACCGGCUAACUCCGUGCCAGCAGCCGCGGUAAUAC
rnacentral:rRNA from 1 species